GCGGGUUGAGGGGUGAGGGGCGACGGGUGUGAGGGGCGAGAGGGACGGGAGCGGGGUAGGGGCAGCCCUUUCCCAGGCGAUAGCGGGGGCUGUGGUGCUGUUGCCCUUUUAAGCUGCGGCUUGACAGGAGCAGCGCCUCCUGUCGGUGGAGUCUGUUACAAGGGGAGCAGCCGCCCAGGCCGCCACACAGCUCCCCGCAGAGGCCUCGGUGCCCCUUGCCAUUUUCCAGCCCUACUCCGACUAGAGUUGAGGCAUCAGGGAGAGGCGGAGCUGGGAGAGCGCCGCCGAGAGGUCCCGCGGGUGGUUGCGGCCGUGACAGCGGCUCCCGACGGGCUCACCUUCCGCGCCCCUCCCGCCAGAGGUGAGAGUAAAAUGUCCGUGUGAGGGUUCAAGGCCAAGCUGAAGUUGUUGGCCUCUAUCUUCCACAAGAACCAGGAGCCGCCGCCGCAGCUCACGCUCCACUGCAACAUCACGCCAAUCGUGUUUAAGGAGAAACUAACAAUGAAAACGGACUCGUUGAUGGAGGAAAAGUUGGAAUGCAGCCUCUGGUGCUGUUUGAGCGAUCCCUCUAUCCCGGGUCGCUGCUGUGUUCUGGAAAGGCGCAUUGUACCCUGGAUGCAGCAGGAAUCCUAUUCAUCUUCUUCACCGAUAUGGUCUGUGGACUCUGAUGAGCCAAAUCUGACAUCAGUUCUGGAACGUCUAGAAGAUACUAAGGAGAACAGUUCGGUGAGGAAAGAAACCAAGCUAUUUUCUCUUUUCCUCAUGAACAUUAUAUUUAGAAAUUAAAUGUUAAGUGAUAAUAUUAUAUAAAAACAUGAUUAACAACUGUAAUCUUAGAGGAAUUAAAGUCUGGGUAUUUUAAGUCCUCC
ensembl:lncRNA novel transcript